rnacentral:lncRNA from 1 species
CCAUGUAGUAAUGUUAUGUUUUUAUCAGUUUUGUGUGUGUCCAUAGUAAAUGGCAUUGAUGUAGAUAGGGAAAGGUUUCGUGGUAUUUUUGUGAGUGUUCUUUUUCUUUGGCGACUGGUCUACGAGAUGUCUCUUAGUAAUGGUUCUUCUGUGUAAGUUGUGUGUAUUAAGUUGUUACGAGAAAAAUAAAUACAAAGAGGAAAACUGAUCCAUUUGGGAACUCAUUUCGGUGGGUGCGGUUCUGGCUCGAGGAGACAUGACUUAUUAGACGGGUUCGAAAAAAAUGUCAAUUACACGAAACGUACAUGUCGG